rnacentral:rRNA from 1 species
UACGUAGGGCGCGAGCGUUGUCCGGAAUCAUUGGGCGUAAAGAGCUCGUAGGCGGUCGGUUGCGUCUGCUGUGAAAUCCCGGGGCUUAACCCCGGGCGUGCAGUGGAUACGGGCUGGCUGGAGGCAGGCAGGGGAGAAUGGAAUUCCCGGUGUAGCGGUGAAAUGCGCAGAUAUCGGGAGGAACACCGGUGGCGAAGGCGGUUCUCUGGGCCUGUGCUGACGCUGAGGAGCGAAAGCGUGGGGAGCGAACAGG